AAAAAGGGAAAGGGCAUUACAAUGGGUAACAAUAUAAAAAUAAGCCAUGAGAGAUAUCACUAAUUGUAAUUGUCUUUUAUUCAAUUUGAAAUUAGUAUUUAGGUAAAGUUUCUUUCCCGAGAAGGAAAUAUGUGUUUAAUGUUACAGCAGUGGUCACCUAGAUUCAGAGCAAACUGAAAAGGAAUGAGCGAAAACAUCAAUUUGUUUUGCUUGUUUGUUUAUUUAAAAUGGUGUCACGAUUUGCAUAUUUCCUUUAAUGCUGAUGGUCCUCAUAGGAAGGCAGUAUCAAAAUAUGAAUGAUUUCCUGAAUAUUUUCCAUCAUCUUUAAUCCCAAAUGCAUGAACAUUUUAUUGACUGUACUUCAGAAUAAUAAUAAUAGAAUUGAUGUUACCUUGGACACUGGUACUGAUCUGUGCAUGAAGUUAGGUUAUAGCUCCUUAGUGUAUCAGCAUCCUUUUUAUACAGAUUCAUUACCCACCCAGCUCCACUUCCACUAGCAUGUUGGUUCUAGUUGUUUCUAUUUUUUCAUGUCUAACGAGUGACCGCAUUAUGUCAUCCAUUGUGUGUCUGGUGUUGAGAAUACAAAAACAGUUGUGAUGUCCUCAAAGCAUGAGCAAUAUGUACAAUCUCUUUUUUUUAAAGAGAGGACUCUUAUCCCUUUGUAUGCUGUUGAAGAAAGCAUGAAAAGGAUUGUUAUCAUAAUCAGUAGGAACCCUAAUGAGAGUUGAAACAUGGAAAGAACUUCUGAUUGCAAAAACAAGAUCAGUAUCUAUGCUUUGUUUUUAGUUUACGGAUUGAAAAGCACACUAUUUACAAGACUGUAUAAAGCAAUAUAUGGCAAAGUAAUGUGUUUGUAAUAAUAAAGCUCCGUGUUUAAAA